rnacentral:rRNA from 1 species
GACGAACGCUGGCGGCGUGCCUAAUACAUGCAAGUCGAACGAACCGCGACUAAGUGCUUGCACUAAGUCAAGGUGAGUGGCGAACGGGUGAGUAACACGUGGGUAACCUACCUCAUAGUGGGGGAUAACAGUCGGAAACGACUGCUAAUACCGCAUAGGACAUAGGAUCACAUGAUCCAGUGAGGAAAGGUGGCGCAAGCUAUCGCUAAGAGAUGGACCCGCGGUGCAUUAGCUAGUUGGUAGGGUAAAGGCCUACCAAGGCGAUGAUGCAUAGCCGACCUGAGAGGGUGAUCGGCCACAUUGGGACUGAGACACGGCCCAAACUCCUACGGGAGGCAGCAGUAGGGAAUCUUCCGCAAUGGACGCAAGUCUGACGGAGCAACGCCGCGUGAGUGAAGAAGGUCUUCGGAUCGUAAAGCUCUGUUGUUAGAGAAGAACAGCGCAUAGAGUAACUGCUAUGCGUGUGACGGUAUCUAACCAGAAAGCCACGGCCAACUACGUG